AAAAAAAAAAAAAAAAAAAAAAAAAAGCAGCAUUUGUUUCCUAUGGAGGUGAGCAUACGGAUAUUCAGACAGUGAGAUGCCUGGAUACUCACUCCCGCUUACUCUAUCCACACAAGACCCUCUGAAGUGGCAGCAGAAGCUUGGUGGUCCCCUUUCCCAGCAGGGAAGCCUGGUACAGGCCUUGCCUGAGGCUGCACAGGGCCUGGGAGACGGUAGAUGCUCAAAGGAUGCUGAAAUGAGUGAGAGAUGCGCUAUCCCGGGGCAACCUGGGGGCUCUACAGAGAGAGCGUGAACCCCGAGGGCCACGAUGGGAUUCGAGGGGUUCACUUCUGCAACGCUGGCACCCAGCACAGGCUAUGCAGCCAACACACACCUAACAGAUGGAAUUGCAGCUACAUAACCCAAUGUGCAGAAGACAGGAGAGAUGGACAGACACCGGGCACGCUGCAUCUGAGACCCAGUCGAUCAGGGUAAUACCCUGGGCACCCUGUGGCUUUUAAACCUGCCAGCAGCUCCCCACUCCUCAGGGGUGGGGACCCGGCCCCAAGACCACCAGCCCUGAAUGGAAUCCUAUCACCGUGUGUCCAGGCUGGGGCUGCCAUCAAAUAAAAUCUACAACCAAGUCAAGUGACACCUGUUUUGUGACAGGCACACCCAUCAGUGGGCCACUCAGUCCAAACUGGGGAAUGAAAGGUAACAAGCAGUUUACAGGAACAACAUCCAUUCAUAUAACUUGGAAGGCCGGCUGCAGCCCUGGCUC